GGGGGGGGGGGGGGGGGGGGCUGGUGGGGGCGGGUUGGGGGAUGGAGGUUGGUGCGUGCACCGAUUUGAGGGGCAGCGGACGGGUGAGUAGCGCGUGGGGAAUCUGCCUUUGAGCGGGGGACAACAUUUGGGAACGAAUGCUCGUACCGCUUAGCACCUUUAAACAUAAGUUUUAAGUUUGCAGGAUGCACUUGCAUCACUCAAAGAUGAUCCCGCGUUGUAUUAGCUAGUUGGUGAGGUAAAGGCUCACCAAGGCGAUGAUACAUAGCCGACCUGAGAGGGUGAUCGGCCACAUUGGGACUGAGACACGGCCCAAACUCCUACGGGAGGCAGCAGUAGGGAAUCUUCGGCAAUGGACGAAAGUCUGACCGAGCAACGCCGCGUGAGUGAAGAAGGUUUUCGGAUCGUAAAACUCUGUUGGUAGAGAAGAACGUUGGUGAGAGUGGAAAGCUCAUCAAGUGACGGUAACUACCCAGAAAGGGACGGCUAACUACGU
rnacentral:rRNA from 1 species